rnacentral:rRNA from 1 species
GUGUCAGCAGCCGCGGUAAUACAGAGGUGGCAAGCGUUGUUCGGAAUUACUGGGCGUAAAGGGCGCGUAGGCGGCCUUCUAAGUCAGACGUGAAAUCCCCCGGCUCAACCUGGGAACUGCGUCUGAUACUGGAAGGCUUGAAUGCGGGAGAGGGAUGCAGAAUUCCAGGUGUAGCGGUGAAAUGCGUAGAUAUCUGGAGGAAUACCGGUGGCGAAGGCGGCAUCCUGGACCGACAUUGACGCUGAGGCGCGAAAGCUAGGGUAGCAAACGGGAUUAGAAACCCUCGUAGUCC